CUAGAAGAGAAGUCUCCCUCUGUCUGUAUGACACAGAGCCCUCCAGAUGAUAGACCUGUGACUGCUGACUACAGACUAACUAGAAGAGAAGUCUCCCUCUGUCUGUAUGACACAGAGCCCUCCAGAUGAUAGACCUGUGACUGCUGACUACAGACUAACUAGAAGAGAAGUCUCCUCUGUCAUCCCUGGGUUAUUCAUAGUGGAGGUCUGGUGGUUCAGUCCAAGCAGAAGGUUGCUGAGCCCCUGCAGGGCUGAGAGUUUACAGCUAGACGUGUGUGUGUCUCUGUCCCAUCAUCAAGACUUAUGUUACAUUGUUGUCAUCCUUCCCAUGUUUCUCUGUCUCCCAAAACCAAUCGAAAACCUUGUUAGGAUUACAAAAUUCCCCACUUUUCCAGGAAUCCCGGUUGGAAGGUCCACAGAAUCUGUUGGGAAUAAGCAGAAAAUACAUAAUCCUCCAACCUUGGAAUUUUGGGAAAGUUGCUGUAAUUUGCAAACCUACACGAUGUGUUUCUGACAUUAACCAUCACAGUAAUCAUGUAUUAUUUUCACUGGGUGUGAUUUUAAAGGGGCAUAUCACCACUUUUUAACCUCAUAGUCAUUAUCUCCAGGACCAAACCAAUGUCUACUAAUGUGAAAAUGGCGUGUUAAAAAAGAAUGGCGUGUCCCUUGAAAACAUGAAUGAUAUGACAUGUCACAUGACAUAUACUAACAGUAACUGAAGCCAGAACAAAUGUCUGAUGUACAUAACCUGUAUAGCUGUUUCUGAGACUCUUUAACCUGUAAUAUUGAUGAUUAUAUUGACAAGUGUUCAUCUGUUUGGGGUUGUUUUCUGAGUGGAUUGUUUGUUGUUGCUAGCUGACUUCUGUGUUUUACUAUAGCCUCUGGUUCCAUUUGGUUUAGGUCCCAGUCCACUGACCGGUGGCAGUGUGGGCGUGUUUGUUGGGGUGGGCAGGUAAAUGUACUGUAACUAGCUAUUAUCAGAGACUGUUUGGGUUUGAAGCUGACAGGUAGUCCAACUUGACCCAGGACAUGUGGACUCACUGGUCAAAGGGAGGAGGGGUCAAAGGGAGGAGCCACCACAGGAGCCUCUGAAUAUUCAUGAAGUAAUUAUCCACCUCACCAGUUAUAACCAUGUAAAUAAAAUGUGAACAAUUAAAAUGUUUGAACUACAGUGUAUUAAACACCCCAAUCACCUUUUUCUUAAAGCCAUUUGAUAUAAAACAUCUGAAUAAGUUGAUGUAAUUUGAUGGGAAAUGAUAGAAAUCAAGUCAUGUAUUAUUAGAUGGAGGAGGAUGCCAUGUAUAGGAGUGGCAUGCUGGGUCAUAUGCAAUAUGAAGGAAGGAGGGGUGAGAGGGAGUUGUGUAAUAAAUAGACACAGUCAGGAGUUGGGUCAAUUCAUUUUCAAUUCAGGAAGUGAAUUGAAAUUCAACUGAUGAAAAAUGUAAUUGAGAAAAAAAACGCAUGUCAAUUGAAAACUGACUGUUUUCUAUGAGGAUUUUCUGAAUGAGUUGAAUUGAGCCCUUCCCUGAUACAAGUGAUCACGACGGUGUGUCUAGUACUAAAAUGUACACUGGCUGUGUGCAGGUUUCUCAGUAACUAACUCUCAUCAGUGUGUUUUGGAGCCAUGACAACCAGUGUGUCCUUUGCACUAUGUAAAUACCAUAAUACUUGUAACAACCACCUGGUAACUAAUGUCAAAACAAAAUGGUUGAAUGAAGUAGCUUUUCUUUUCCCAGUGUGUCCCUGGUCUUUCUAUGUCUCUCUUACUGACUGUACAGCAACAGCAACAUGUAGAGGCUUUUCUCAUAACAUUACUGUUCUCUCCAUCUGGACUGAAUGUCAUUCAAAUGUUCUUUCAGUAAACUACAUACACUCCUGUCUUUUAUUUUGUCUUGUCUAUUUGUUGCAUGUAAAUCUCCUAUAUGUUUGAUAGGGAUCUUUGUGUAACUAGGAGUAUUAGCCUAAAGCACGUGUCAAACUCCAGUCCUCGGGGGUCGGGGGUCUGUGGAAUUUUGCACCUCCCUUGUACUGAUUGAUCAAUUAAGGUAAUUCAUUGAUUAGUUAGGAACUUCUAGGUCUUAAUUGGACACAUGAAAGGAAAUAACAAACCAGCAGACACACGUCUCUCCAGGAAUUUAGUUUGACACCCUAAACUUUGGUUGAUUGCUAAUCCAAUAUGGCCGCCUGAAUCCUGCUUACUUACUGCAUUGGCACGGACAGAGCAAUGAGACCCAUAUAUCACUGGAUGUAUAAAUGUGAAGCAUCCUGUUGGUGUUUCCACUCACUACAAAACAUGAUGAUGAGAGGAAGCCCACUGGUGGGCAGUGGGAGAAGAUGGAACGAGAUGGAUUUUGUCAGACAUUUGGUACAUUUUCUCAUUGAUGAAACCUUUGAUCUCUACAGUUUUCUGUUUUCAAAACUAGAAUCUGUUAUGAGUGGACUACGUUUUGUAGACUAUCUUUUGCAACAUAUUUUAAGAUUGCGCUGUUUAGAAGGAGUGCAAAGGUGAAUUGAGUUAUUGCACAUGCGCACUUCACAGAGUAGGCGUUCCCUAACAGAAAUAUGCAGAUGUAUACUAAAACACGCCAAUAGGAUAUCACUAGCGCAUGCUUCUUCUGCCCGCUAUGACUAAUUUGUUCCCAUUGGAAAUGACAAGCUGUGGUCUUUCUUGUUUAGUUAUACAAAUCUUUGGCAUUGGUGAUACAUUGGGUUGUUAUUUGUGAACCCAACUAAGCCCAGUAAGUCAGAGAAAACAGGUAGGCCUAGAGGAUAAAACUUGAAUCCAAACGUAGUGUCUCGAGGGGGAAAAACGGCAUUUAUGUCUUAUUAUUUAACUUCUUGUCCGUAUGUUAAAACAUGAAAAUAGCUCCCAUGCUGUACAACCAAGAAGUGGACCUCCAGUGUAGUUCUGACCGACUAUAUAUCAUAUUUAUACGUUUCUUCUGAUACAGAUUUACUGUGUAUCAACUGUAGGUGUUAGUCAAGUACAUCUAUUCUGGAGUAGCUUACAGACUAUUCUCUAAUGUUUUCUUUUAUUUAUGUUUAUAUAAAAGUAUCAGUAACUAUCACAAGUUCAGGCUUCUGCUGACAGUAUCCUAUUGGUUAUUGUCUUCCCACAGUCUUGUGUUUGUGUUCACUGGUUAGCCUUUCUGAGAGACACUUUUUGAGUGAGACACUUUCUGAGAGACACUUUCUGAGUGAGACUUUCUGAGAGAGACAUUUGUCUCCUGGAGAGAUGUGUUAUACUCAAUGGAGCCUGAGGGAGAUCCUGGAGUCUUGAGCAGGAGGUGAGUCAGAGAGAGAGAGGCUGUCUGAGGGAGAUCCUGGAGUCCUGAGCAGGAGGUGAGUCAGAGAGAGAGAGGCUGUCUGAGGGAGAUCCUGGAGUCCUGAGCAGGAGGUGAGUCAGAGAGAGAGAGGCUGUCUGAGGGAGAUCCUGGAGUCCUGAGCAGGAGGUGAGUCAGAGAGAGAGAGGCUGUCUGAGGGAGACCCUGGAGUCCUGAGCAGGAGGUGAGUCAGAGAGAGAGGCUGUCUGAGGGAUAAACACUAACCAAGGCUCAGUUUAAUGACACUAAAGACUCUACAACACAUCACAUUACACACUACACAAUAACGUUCACUCCCCCAAAUACCAACGACAUGGGUCCUUCCACAAAAUGGGUGCCUUCUCUGCGUCCCUUUGAUACUUUAAGUAGAAAUUGUGCACCAAUAUUAAAAGCCUGUUAUAUUCAAUGAAGUGCCCUUUAAUAUAGAUUACAUUGAUACAUUGAUAGAAUUCAAUUAAUCAAACAAAAAUGCAUAUGAAAUAAGACUUGCUAAAGUGCCAAAAUUCAGCAUUUUGACAUGUCCCUCUGUGCCCCCUCUGUGACUUCCAAGAAGAUUUGCCCCAUGAACCCAACAUGUAUCCAGGUUUUCUCCAUCAUUGUAAAGCCCUAAUUAUUCUGUUGCUUUGACACACUCAUUCUGAACAUGAUUCUAUAUUUCAUGUGAUUAAAAUCAAAUCAAAUCAAAUGUAUUUGUCACAUACACAUGGGUAGCAGAUGUUAAUGCGAGUGUAGCGAAAUGCUUGUGCUUCUAGUUCCGACAAUGCAGUAAUAACCAACAAGUAAUCUAACUAACAAUUCCAAAACUACUGUCUUAUACACACAAGUGUAAGGGGAUAAAGAAUAUGUACAUAAGGAUAUAUGAAUGAGUGAUGGUACAGAGCAGCAUAGGCAAGAUACAGUAGAUGAUAUCGAGUACAGUAUAUACAUAUGAGAUGAGUAUGUAAACAAAGUGGCAUAGUUAAAGUGGC
ensembl:lncRNA